rnacentral:tRNA from 1 species
GUGGGUGUAGCUCGGUGGUAGAGCACAUGCUUAGUAUGCAUAAGGUCCUGAGUUCAAUUCCCAGGACCUUCA